AUCAAGUUAGUUUAAAUAAAAUUCUGGGUUGUGGUCCUGGUGAUGGGGGAGUGGCCCCACUUGAUA
rnacentral:tRNA from 1 species